GGCUGUGUGGUCUAAUGGUUAUGACGUCUGCUUCACACCUAUAAUUCUGGUUAACGCUGAAGGUUCCCGGUUCGAACCCGGGCACGGUCA